UAGAAUAAGUUAGUAGGUGUGUUGUACGUGUUAGGAGGUUAGUUAGUUAGAAGUGACAGCUGUCACUAUACAGCUAUCACAUGAAGCUAACAAACAACACUAUAAAUGCAAGCCUAUAGAGACUCAAUGUAACAGAUUUCAGUUAGUAAAAAUCAGAUUCUUCUUCUAGAUCCUUCCUUUUCUUCGUUCUCUCUUAUUCUUAGCUCAAUUAAUACAGAAAUCUAACAUUGUAUCAAAGCCAUCAUGGCUGAUUGAAGGUGAUAAUCGAUGCUAGAGAUCUCUGAUUUCAACUAAUCAGUGAGAAGUUUAGCUGCUGUUGAUCGUUCUCAUCUUUCACUGUUGUGUCAAUGGCGGUUACUCGAAACUCUACUGCAGAAGCUGCAACUACAACUGCAGCACCUGGGAAUACAGCUACGUCUGGUAUAAUUGAGAUUGACCAUAAUCACCCUCUGUAUUUGCAUCCUAAUGAUACUCAAGGUAGCUCUC
rnacentral:lncRNA from 1 species